rnacentral:rRNA from 1 species
AUUAGAUAAAGUAAAAUUGAUUGAUAUUUAAUAAUAAGAAAAUUUUUAGGUGAAAUUUUAAUUAUUUUAUUUUUAAAAUUAAGGAAAAAAAUUGAAACUUAGAAAUUUUGUUAAUAAACUAGGAUUAGAUACCCUAUUAUUAAGAAAUGUAUUUUAGAAAGGUUAGAGUAGUAAUAGUUAUGGUCUUGAAACUCAAAAAAUUUGGCGGUAUUUUAGUCUAUCCAGAGGAACCUGUGGUGUAAUCGAUAAUCCACGAUGAAUCUUACUUAAUUUUGUUUUUCAGUUUGUAUACCGCCGUUAUUUAAAAAUUUUUUGAAAAUAAUAAUUUUUAUAAGUUUUUAUAAAAGAAAAAGUCAGGUCAAGGUGCAGUUUAUAAUUAAGUAUUUCAUGGGUUACAAUAAAUUUAUUUAUAUAGAUUAAAUUAUGAAAUUGAUUUAUGAAAGUGGAUUUGGUAGUAAAUUUUUAAAGAUAAAAGGAUUGAUUUUAGCUCUAAAAUAUG